GGCCUUGCGCGCGCUCCCCGCGUGGGAUGACCAGAAUGCACGUGCCUUGGUUGCAGAGUGAGCCCCUCAGCCCCGAAUCUGGAGUGGCCGCGGCCGGGAAACAGGAACCCGGGUUUAUUAUUAGCCGUCGGGGAAGAGGGGCCGGCAGCAGUUCCAACAGUGUGAUAACACACGGAAAACGGAAAUCCAAGGGAUCUAGCAAAAGGAUUCCACCCAGCAAAAACGCCAGCUUGGGAGAGGGCCCCUACCUAACUCCUUCCUUCUGGCCUCCACCCCUCCCCUGAUACGUUUCCUUCCGUCUAGUCUCGAGAUAACCCUUCAUCCCCCAGUUUCUUGACUCUGGCCGCUGUUCUUGAACAUUUCUUAAACACUUUCAGAGAAAGAUGGCUCAUGCACCUGCCUGCAAAACUUCCCAAACCGGGCCUCCCAGCUCCCCCAGACCCCGCAACAACUCACACCCGCCGGGGAAACUCCAGAAGGAAAAGGUCCGCCGGCCAGAGCUCUGGGCCCUUGGAAUCACCCCACCACCGCCCCUCUGGCUUCAGCCAAUCAGAAGCCGUCAGAAAAUAUUAUGCAAAUGAAUCCUGAUGCUCCAGCCAGUCAGAAGCCGCGGAGCCCUCCCCCACGCAGCGUCCUCUUUCACCCCAGCCCCGCCAAGCUGGCUGCCGCGUCCCUGGCAACCGGCGCGCAGCCAGU